CUGCUGCCUUCCGUAGGAGUCUGGUCCGUGUCUCAGUACCAGUGUGGGGGACCUUCCUCUCAGAACCCCUACGCAUCGUCGCCUCGGUGGGCCGUUACCCCGCCGUCUAGCUAAUGCGCCGCAUGCCCAUCCUCUUCCGAUGAAUCUUUCCUCGAUCUCGGAUGCCCGAAACCGAUAUACGCGGGAUUAGCCUCCCUUUCGGAAGGUUGUCCCCCUGAAGAGGGCAGGUUGCAUACGUGUUACUCACCCGUGCGCCGGUCGCCGG
rnacentral:rRNA from 1 species